rnacentral:lncRNA from 1 species
UCGAAAGAAAAAAAGAGAGAAAUAGAGAAAUAGAGAGAGAGAAAGAGGAAGAAAAAAAAAAGAGGGAGGGGAAGGAGCUGGCGAGGCCGCCGGACGGCCUCCGACUGGCUGUCGUGGCCGUCGGAGGGUGCAGUCCACACUCGCGGCGCCGCAGGCGUGAAACAGGGGCAUCCCCUGUUUCGCAAAUUUUUUUAAAAAACAUGGUUUUAAGUGAAGUCGGNNNNNNNNNNNNNNNNNNNNCCCCUGUUUCGCAAAUUUUUUUAAAAAACAUGGUUUUAAGUGAAGUCGGCAAACGAUUUGCCGGCUUCACGAUAAGUUUUUUAAAAAAAUUCUUAAGUCGGCAACUGGGUUGCCGACUUCAUAAGUUUAAAACAAAAGAAAAAAGAAAAAAUCGAAACAGACGUCGUCUGUUUCGAAAAAGAAGGGG